rnacentral:rRNA from 1 species
AUUGAACGCUGGCGGAAUGCUUUACACAUGCAAGUCGAACGGCAGCACGGACUUCGGUCUGGUGGCGAGUGGCGAACGGGUGAGUAAAGCAUCGGAACGUGCCCAGUAGUGGGGGAUAGCCCGGCGAAAGCCGGAUUAAUACCGCAUACGACCUAAGGGUGAAAGGGGGGGAUCGCAAGACCUCUCGCUAUUGGAGCGGCCGAUGUCAGAUUAGCUAGUUGGGGGGGUAAAAGCUCACCAAGGCGACGAUCUGUAGCUGGUCUGAGAGGACGACCAGCCACACUGGGACUGAGGCACGGCCCAGACUCCUACGGGAGGCAGCAGUGGGGAAUUUUGGACAAUGGACGAAAGUCUGAUCCAGCCAUGCCGCGUGCGGGAAGAAGGCCCUCGGGUUGUAAACUGCUUUUGUACGGAACGAAAAGGUCUCUCUUAAUACGGGGGACUCAUGACGGUACCGUAAGAAUAAGCACCGGCUAACUACGUGCCAGCCGCCGCGGUAA